rnacentral:rRNA from 1 species
UAUCUCUGUAGAGUCUGCAUAUCAAUAAGCGGAGGAAAAGAAACUAACUAGGAUUCCCUUAGUAACAGCGAGUGAAGCGGGAAGAGCUCAAAUUCGAAAUCUUCAAGGUUUUACCUUGACGAAUUGUAGUUUAAAGAAGUGUUUUCAUGUUGGUAGUUUUGGUAAAAGUUCUUUGGAAUAGGACAUCAUAGAGGGUGAGAAUCCCGUAUUUGACCAUUACUUCCAGCUUUGUGAUACACUUUCAAAGAGUCGGAUUGUUUGGGAAUGCAGUCCAAAAUGGGUGGUAAAUUUCAUCUAAAGCUAAAUAUUGGCGAGAGACCGAUAGCGAACAAGUACCGUGAGGGAAAGAUGAAAAGAACUUUGAAAAGAGAGUUAAACAGUACGUGAAAUUGUCAAAAGGGAAGCGUUUGACACCAGUGUUGUUUUCUCGAAAAUCAAUUAAAAAAGUUGGAUUUUGUAUUGUUAAGACCUUAUCAGCUUACUGUACUCUUUUCAUUGUCUUUUUUAAUGCACUUUUCGUUUAACAAGUCAACAUCAGUUUCUUUUGUUGUAAAAGGGUCAUUGGAAGGUGGCUUUCUUUUCGGAGAAAGUGUUUAUAGCCUUUGAUCUCUGCAAUCGGAGAGACUGAGGUCUGCAGCGUAGAUCCUUCUGGAUUAGAUACAUUUGUGCUAAGUUAUAACGUUUCAUAGACAACUUGUUGACUAUGUUUAGUCAUGUAGCUUACUCGCUUAUGCUAUUCUACCUACGCUUAGGAUGUUGAUCUGUAGUGCGUGCGC